UAGUGCGAACGUAGAGGGUGAUAUUCCCGUACACGAAAGGGCACACAUAAUGAUGACGAGUAGGGCGAGGCACGUGAAACCUUGUCUGAAUAUGGGGGGACCAUCCUCCAAGGCUAAAUACUCCUGACUGACCGAUAGUGAACCAGUACCGUGAGGGAAAGGCGAAAAGAACCCCUGUGAGGGGAGUGAAAUAGAUCCUGAAACCGCAUGCAUACAAGCAGUGGGAGCACCUUCGUGGUGUGACUGCGUACCUUUUGUAUAAUGGGUCAGCGACUUAUAUUCAGUAGCGAGGUUAACCGUAUAGGGGAGCCGUAGAGAAAUCGAGUCUUAAUAGGGCGUUUAGUUGCUGGGUAUAGACCCGAAACCAGGCGAUCUAUCCAUGAGCAGGUUGAAGGUUGGGUAACACUAACUGGAGGACCGAACCCACUGUCGUUGAAAAGCCAGGGGAUGACUUGUGGAUAGGGGUGAAAGGCUAAUCAAGCCUGGUGAUAGCUGGUUCUCCCCGAAAGCUAUUUAGGUAGCGCCUCGGACGAAUACCAUAGGGGGUAGAGCACUGUUUCGGCUAGGGGGUCAUCCCGACUUACCAAACCGAUGCAAACUCCGAAUACCUAUGAGUACUAUCCGGGAGACAGACUGCGGGUGCUAACGUCCGUAGUCAAGAGGAAAACAAUCCAGACCGCCAGCUAAGGCCCCAAAAUCAUAGUUAAGUGGGAAACGAUGUGGGAAGGCAUAGACAGCUAGGAGGUUGGCUUAGAAGCAGCCACCCUUUAAAGAAAGCGUAAUAGCUCACUAGUCGAGUCGGCCUGCGCGGAAGAUGUAACGGGGCUAAAACUAUGUGCCGAAGCUGCGGAUGUAUACUUUGUAUACGUGGUAGGGGAGCGUUCUGUAAGCCGAUGAAGGUGUGUUGAGAAGCAUGCUGGAGGUAUCAGAAGUGCGAAUGCUGACGUGAGUAACGACAAAACGGGUGAAAAACCCGUUCGCCGAAAGACCAAGGGUUCCAGUCCAACGUUAAUCGGGGCUGGGUGAGUCGACCCCUAAGGCGAGGCCGAAAGGCGUAGUCGAUGGGAAAAUGGUUAAUAUUCCAUUACUUCUGUGUAAUGCGAUGAGAGGACGGAGAAGGCUAAAUCAGCCUGGCGUUGGUUGUCCAGGUGAAAGGAUGUAGGCAUGUAUCUUAGGCAAAUCCGGGGUACUCUAUGCUGAGAUCUGAUAGCAAGCUGUACUUGUACAGCGAAGUGGUUGAUGCCAUGCUUCCAGGAAAAGUCUCUAAGCUUCAGUUACACAGGAAUCGUACCCGAAACCGACACAGGUGGUCAGGUCGAGUAGACCAAGGCGCUUGAGAGAACUCUGCUGAAGGAACUAGGCAAAAUGGUACCGUAACUUCGGGAGAAGGUACGCUGUUGUUGGUGAUGGAACUCGCUUCCUGAGCUGACGACAGCCGCAGAAACCAGGCCGCUGCAACUGUUUAUUAAAAACAUAGCACUCUGCAAACACGAAAGUGGACGUAUAGGGUGUGAUGCCUGCCCGGUGCUGGAAGGUUAAUUGAUGGGGUUAGCGUAAGCGAAGCUCUUGAUCGAAGCCCCAGUAAACGGCGGCCGUAACUAUAACGGUCCUAAGGUAGCGAAAUUCCUUGUCGGGUAAGUUCCGACCUGCACGAAUGGCAUAAUGAUGGCGGCGCUGUCUCCAGCAGAGGCUCAGUGAAAUCGAAAUCGCUGUGAAGAUGCAGUGUACCCGCGGCUAGACGGAAAGACCCCGUGAACCUUUACUGCAGCUUGACACUGAACUUUGACCUUACUUGUGUAGGAUAGGUGGGAGGCUUUGAAGCUGGAACGCUAGUUCCAGUGGAGCCGUCCUUGAAAUACCACCCUGGUAAUGUUGAGGUUCUAACUCUGUCCCGUGAUCCGGGACGAGGACCGUGUCUGGUGGGUAGUUUGACUGGGGCGGUCUCCUCCUAAAGAGUAACGGAGGAGUACGAAGGUGCGCUCAGCGUGGUCGGAAAUCACGCGUAGAGUAUAAAGGCAAAAGCGCGCUUAACUGCGAGACCCACAAGUCGAGCAGGUACGAAAGUAGGUCUUAGUGAUCCGGUGGUUCUGUAUGGAAGGGCCAUCGCUCAACGGAUAAAAGGUACUCUGGGGAUAACAGGCUGAUACCGCCCAAGAGUUCAUAUCGACGGCGGUGUUUGGCACCUCGAUGUCGGCUCAUCUCAUCCUGGGGCUGAAGCAGGUCCCAAGGGUAUGGCUGUUCGCCAUUUAAAGAGGUACGCGAGCUGGGUUUAGAACGUCGUGAGACAGUUCGGUCCCUAUCUACCGUGGGCGCUGGAAAUUUGAGAGGAUCUGCUCCUAGUACGAGAGGACCAGAGUGGACGAACCUCUGGUGUACCGGUUGUGACGCCAGUCGCAUCGCCGGGUAGCUAUGUUCGGAAGGGAUAACCGCUGAAAGCAUCUAAGCGGGAAGCCUACCUCAAGAUAAGAUUUCCCUAGGACUUUAUGUCCUCUAAAGAGCCGUUCGAGACUAGGACGUUGAUAGGUUGGAUGUGGAAGCAUAGUGAUAUGUGAAGCUGACCAAUACUAAUUGCUCGUGAGGCUUGACUAU
rnacentral:rRNA from 1 species